rnacentral:lncRNA from 7 species
AGCUAUCAUGAUCAACAGGUCUCAUUUAUUAGGCACAUUGGUAUUGUAUUUAUACAGUAGGUAAUGAGGAAAGUCCAAGCAAUGGCCGUUAUCCUAAAGGGUGUUCAUUGGUAAGGACAAGGCCUAAUUGAGCCAACACGUCUCUACCGAUAAGGCAGGAUACUGUGGGCGGAAGCAGGGCUAGUGAAAACACAGCUGUGGCUCUUCGGCCGUCUAUUUCUACCGCGAGCAUAGGAGUCCGGCUUGCUAAUGUCACUCCUCCAACCCCGGUCACUGUGGUAGUGGACGAUUGAAGUGGCCAUUCCGACGGCCAUUCUCCUGGGGUAAUGAUCGAUGUAUCUGCGCCCGUGUCCAAUAAUCCUGUCAGAAUAAUGCUCUGAUUUCGGUAGUACAAUGUGCAUGGUUUCUUUGGGCGAUCUGACAGGUCAAUAGUGAGCAGAGUUAGUCCCCCAGUCGAACCGAAUCCUUUUUGCUCUCUCGGUUCCUGCUUUAGGGGUAUCAUCCCUUUCGUUAGUUGCGGCAGCGGAACUAGCUGAGCUAUCCGUUGCCCCUUGUUAAUCCUUAUUGGCGGGUAAGGGGUAUGCACCAUAACCAUAAUUUCUCCUUGGUAGUCCGCAUCUAUGACCCCGGGCAAGACAAAUAGUCCUAACAUGCUGGCUGAUGAUCUUCCGAGCAGCAGCCCUCCCACCGCUUGUCCAUUUAUCAUAACAGGGCCAAACAGUCCGGUAGCAAUUCAGUGGGGUUGAUUAGAUAAGAUGGUAAUGUCUAUUGAGGCUGCCACGUCCAGGCCGAGGCUCCCGCUUGUGGCAGGCUGGGGUUGUUGCUGCCGGGGGCGUUCGAUGUUGCAGCUGCUACUUGUGUCCGGGCGCGGCUGCUGUUCGCGCUGCUCCUCGCGUUUCCCGACUUUCGCCGUCCGUCUAGCUGCGGGACCCGAACCCAACGCAGUCUCCGUUCGUGGCAGCCAAAGUUCCCCGGUCUGUAUCACGUCGGGGUCACCAUUUGUCGGAAAAGACCGCGGGAGACGAGUCUCAAGCUAUCAUGAUCAACAGGUCUCAU